rnacentral:rRNA from 1 species
AAAGCUAUGGAGACAUAGUGGAGGUUAUCAAGGAGACAGGUGGUGCAUGGUUGUCGUCAGCUCGUGUCGUGAGACGUUGGGUUAAGUCCCGCAACGAGCGCAACCCUUAUUGCUAGUUACCAUCAUUAAGUUGGGGGACUCUAGCGAGACUGCCAGUGAUAAACUGGAGGAAGGUGGGGAUGACGUCAAAUCAUCAUGCCCCUUAUGACCUGGGCUACAAACGUGAUACAAUGGCUGAAACAAAGGGCAGCGAAGCAGUGAUGUGGAGCGAAACCCAAAAAGCAGUCUCAGUUCGGAUUGAAGUCUGCAACUCGACUUCAUGAAGUUGGAAUCGCUAGUAAUCGUAGAUCAGAACGCUACGGUGAAUACGUUCUCGGGGUUU